AGUCACUGACAUUAGAUACCCGCGUAGUCCCAGCCCUAAACGAUGCGCGUUAGGUGUAUCGGUGACCACGAGUCACCGAGGUGCCGAAGGGAAACCGUGAAACGUGCUGCCUGGGAAGUACGGUCGCAAGGCUGAAACUUAAAGGAAUUGGCGGGGAGCACAACAACGGGUGGAGCUUGCGGUUUAAUUGGAUUCAACGCCGGAAAUCUUACCGGGACCGACAGCAACAUGAAGGCCAAGCUGAAGACUUUGCCGGAUUAGCUG
rnacentral:rRNA from 1 species